GACGAAGGUGGCGAGCGUUGUUCGGAAUUACUGGGCAUAAAGCGCGCGUAGGUGGCUUGGUAUGUCAAUGGUGAAAUCCCGUGGCUCAACCAUGGAAUUGCCGUUGAAACUGCCUUGCUUGAGUGCAGGAGGGGAGAGUGGAAUUCCUAGUGUAGCGGUGAAAUGCGUAGAUAUUAGGAGGAACGCCGGAGGCGAAAGCGACUCUCUGGACUGCAACUGACACUGAGGUGCGAAAGCUAGGGGAGCAAACAGGAUUAGAUACCCUGGUAGUCCUAGCUGUAAACGAUGGGCACUGGGUGGAGAGAGUUCCGAUGCUUUCUCUGUCGUAGCUAAUGCGUUAAGUGCCCCGCCUGGGGAGUAUGGUCGCAAGGCUAAA
rnacentral:rRNA from 1 species